GACGAACGCUGGCGGCGUGCCUAAUACAUGCAAGUCGAGCGGACGAAUCGAAAGCUUGCUUUUGAUUCGUUAGCGGCGGACGGGUGAGUAACACGUGGGCAACCUGCCCUGUAGACGGGGAUAACACCGAGAAAUCGGUGCUAAUACCGGAUAACACGAAAUGUCGCAUGACGUUUCGUUGAAAGACGGCGCAAGCUGUCGCUACAGGAUGGGCCCGCGGCGCAUUAGCUAGUUGGUGAGGUAACGGCUCACCAAGGCGACGAUGCGUAGCCGACCUGAGAGGGUGAUCGGCCACACUGGGACUGAGACACGGCCCAGACUCCUACGGGAGGCAGCAGUAGGGAAUCUUCCGCAAUGGACGAAAGUCUGACGGAGCAACGCCGCGUGAGCGAAGAAGGCCUUCGGGUCGUAAAGCUCUGUUGUUAGGGAAGAACAAGUAACGCAGUAACUGGCGUUACCGUGACGGUACCUAACGAGAAAGCCACGGCUAACCACGUG
rnacentral:rRNA from 1 species